rnacentral:rRNA from 1 species
GCAGCGGAAAGCUCAGUAACACGUGGCCAAACUACCCUGUGGAUGGGAAUAAUCUCGGGAAACUGAGGCUAAUUCCCAAUAAUGCUCCACCCCUGGAAUGGGUGGAGCUGGAAACGCUACGGCGCCACAGGAUGUGGCUGCGGUCGAUUAGGUAGACGGUGGGGUAACGGCCCACCGUGCCAAUAAUCGGUACGGGUUGUGAGAGCAAGAGCCCGGAGACGGAAUCUGAGACAAGAUUCCGGGCCCUACGGGGCGCAGCAGGCGCGAAACCUUUACACUGUACGCAAGUGCGAUAAGGGGACUCCGAGUGUGAAGGCAUAGAGCCUUCACUUUUGUACACCGUAAGGUGGUGCACGAAUAAGGGCUGGGCAAGACCGGUGCCAGCCGCCGCGGUAAUACCGGCAGCCCGAGUGAUGGCCGAUAUUAUUGGGCCUAAAGCGUCCGUAGCUGGCCGGACAAGUCCGUUGGGAAAUCUGUCCGCUUAACGGGCAGGCGUCCAGCGGAAACUGUUCGGCUUGGGACCGGAAGACCUGAGGGGUACGUCCGGGGUAGGAGUGAAAUCCUGUAAUCCUGGACGGACCACCGGUGGCGAAAGCGCCUCAGGAGGACGGAUCCGACAGUGAGGGACGAAAGCUAGGGUCUCGAACCGGAUUAGAUACCCGGGUAGUCCUAGCUGUAAACGAUGCCCGCUAGGUGGUGGCGCAGGCUACGAGCCUGCGCUGUGCCGUAGGGAAGCCGAGAAGCGGGCCGCCUGGGAAGUACGUCUGCAAGGAUGAAACUUAAAGGAAUUGGCGGGGGAGCACUACAACCGGAGGAGCCUGCGGUUUAAUUGGACUCAACGCCGGACAUCUCACCAGCUCCGACAGUAGUAAUGACGGUCAGGUUGAUGACUUUACCC